AGCAGUAAGGCUGAGUAUUAGGCAAAUCCGGUACUCGUUAAGGCUGAGCUGUGAUGGGGAGAAGACAUUGAGUCUUCGAGUCGUUGAUUUCACACUGCCGAGAAAAGCCUCUAGAUAGAAAAUAGGUGCCCGUACCGCAAACCGACACAGGUAGUCAAGAUGAGAAUUCUAAGGUGAGCGAGCGAACUCUCGUUAAGGAACUCGGCAAAAUGACCCCGUAACUUCGGGAGAAGGGGUGCUCUUUAGGGUUAACGCCCAGAAGAGCCGCAGUGAAUAGGCCCAAGCGACUGUUUAUCAAAAACACAGGUCUCUGCUAAACCGUAAGGUGAUGUAUAGGGGCUGACGCCUGCCCGGUGCUGGAAGGUUAAGAGGAGUGGUUAGCUUCUGCGAAGCUACGAAUCGAAGCCCCAGUAAACGGCGGCCGUAACUAUAACGGUCCUAAGGUAGCGAAAUUCCUUGUCGGGUAAGUUCCGACCCGCACGAAAGGCGUAACGAUUUGGGCACUGUCUCAACGAGAGACUCGGUGAAAUCAUAGUACCUGUGAAGAUGCAGGUUACCCGCGACAGGACGGAAAGACCCCGUGGAGCUUUACUGUAGCCUGAUAUUGAAAUUCGGCACAGCUUGUACAGGAUAGGUAGGAGCCUUUGAAACGUGAGCGCUAGCUUACGUGGAGGCGCUGGUGGGAUACUACCCUAGCUGUGUUGGCUUUCUAACCCGCACCACUUAUCGUGGUGGGAGACAGUGUCAGGCGGGCAGUUUGACUGGGGCGGUCGCCUCCUAAAAGGUAACGGAGGCGCUCAAAGGUUCCCUCAGAAUGGUUGGAAAUCAUUCAUAGAGUGUAAAGGCAUAAGGGAGCUUGACUGCGAGACCUACAAGUCGAGCAGGGUCGAAAGACGGACUUAGUGAUCCGGUGGUUCCGCAUGGAAGGGCCAUCGCUCAACGGAUAAAAGCUACCCCGGGGAUAACAGGCUUAUCUCCCCCAAGAGUUCACAUCGACGGGGAGGUUUGGCACCUCGAUGUCGGCUCAUCGCAUCCUGGGGCUGUAGUCGGUCCCAAGGGUUGGGCUGUUCGCCCAUUAAAGCGGUACGCGAGCUGGGUUCAGAACGUCGUGAGACAGUUCGGUCCCUAUCCGUCGUGGGCGUAGGAAAUUUGAGAGGAGCUGUCCUUAGUACGAGAGGACCGGGAUGGACAUACCUCUGGUGUACCAGUUGUCGUGCCAACGGCAUAGCUGGGUAGCUAUGUGUGGACGGGAUAAGUGCUGAAAGCAUCUAAGCAUGAAGCCCCCCUCAAGAUGAGAUUUCCCAACUUCGGUUAUAAGAUCCCUCAAAGAUGAUGAGGUUAAUAGGUUCGAGGUGGAAGCAUGGUGACAUGUGGAGCUGACGAAUACUAAUCGAUCGAAGACUUAAUCAA
rnacentral:rRNA from 1 species